CGGAGGGUGCAAGCGUUAUCCGGAUUCACUGGGUUUAAAGGGUGCGUAGGUGGGCAAGUAAGUCAGUGGUGAAAUCUCCGGGCUUAACCCGGAAACUGCCAUUGAUACUAUUUGACUUGAAUACUGUGGAGGUCAGCGGAAUAUGUCAUGUAGCGGUGAAAUGCUUAGAUAUGACAUAGAACACCAAUUGCGAAGGCAGCUGGCUACACAAAUAUUGACACUGAGGCACGAAAGCGUGGGGAUCAAACAGGAUUAGAUACCCUGGUAGUCCACGCCCUAAACUAUGGAUACUCGACAUUUGCGAUAAACUGCAAGUGUCUGAGCGAAAGCAUUAAGUAUCCCACCUGGGAAGUACGAUCGCAAGAUUG
rnacentral:rRNA from 1 species